AUGAGCACGACGCACGAAAAGGGACACGUUGCCUUCAGGAAGAAAAAGGAGCACGUUCCUUGGAGAGAACACUACCUAGUCACGCUUGUCAGAAAGACCGGCAACAGUAUGCAUCGAAGGCAAGGAGCAUCCACAUGCCAAACUUUGUCAUGUACUACUAGGAUUUCAGUACAUAUGGCCCUUACUCUGAUCGAUGUAACUCUGAAGUUGCAGGGGAGCGUAACCAAGUACAGGAGGAGCAGGACUGUGGUGGAAGAUGAUGGACGUGUGAAACUGAAUUAUAGCUGCACGCAUCGGCGUCAGGUUUCUGGUGCAGUUUGGUUCAGUUUGUUCGGAUGGGUGUGA
rnacentral:rRNA from 1 species